rnacentral:miRNA from 1 species
UGCUGUUUUGGGACUACAACUCCCAUCGUCCCUAGCUAACAGGACCAGUGGUCAGGGAUGAUGGGAAUUGUAGCCCCAAAACAGCU